GCCUGGAGCACAGUUAGCUUGAUAGUUACAAGUUAGGAGUGGCUGUUUGUGUUACGGCUACAACUCAUCAAGACCAAAGUCUCCCCUUCGCAUCCCAACUAGAGUCCAGACUAUGAGCCAAGAAAGGUUAACAACUCUGAGGCUGGAAAAUGCAGGAUUCUGCAUUGCGACUGGAGUGUGUCAUUGUCAGUUAAUCAGUCUCCCUAUUUUAGGGCACACCACAUGAAGCCAACACAUCCAAAGGCCAAGAGAGACCAAAUUCCUGGUUGGCUUUGACAACACUGUAUGACUGAAACGGAUGGGACUAGCAGUUACUCAGAUAAACCAGCAGCACUGUAAACAAGC